CCUGGUCAUGUCAUGAUGAUAAUGAAGUGAUUUCAAAAUUUAAUAAUUGUUGGUGUUCUUCUUUGAGCUGAGCUACAUAGCAUGCAGCAGCAGCAGUACAGCCAGUAGACUGUAAAAGUGUAAUACAAGGAGUUUGAUCGUUCAAGAACUACGACUAUGGGGAACAAUAGUAGAAGAAAAAGACGAAGCCAGAGUGCUCCGCCACCCCGCCGUACGCAGCGUGCUCGAGGAGCCAAACAGCAACGUCUCCACGAUACCUCCAGAAAGCAGUCACGUCAGCGACAUGACCUGGCCCGGAUGGCUAAUGAUGAGUCAUUCGAUGCACUACGCCAGCUGGCCAAAGACACGCAGGAGAGAAGUGGAGAACAUGGUGGACAUACUGAGAGACGUGGAUCAUUGACCCGGCUUAAUGGCGCAGCGACGGCAGCAGCAGUGGUCACACCGGUCGCCUUGUGCCAAACACCUCAUCCGGAGAAUCCUUUGUCCAACGCUGAGCUGAGUGCAGUCAUUGGUGCUAUGGACAGUCUUAGUCCGAUCACACAACGGGACAACAGAACUACAGCUACAGCAGCAGCAGGAGCAACAACAAGAGCAUUGGGAACGUCUUCAGCAUUCUCUACGUCAGCUUCACCGCAUGCCACUAUUAGUUCGAGUAACAGGAACUUGGGGUAUGGUGCUAGCGCCUGUGUCGCCGUCUCUGCCGCUACUGCUAGUCUUGCAGCAGCAGCUGGGGCAAGGACCACUGUUAGUCCGAGUGAACGAUCCGUUGUUACGAGAUCAGCAGCUUCUUUAGGACCAGUUGACUUAGUGGAUUCACUCGAAAAACUUGGCUCUCUGGGCAGCAGCAGGUGAACUGUUGUUCCUAGUUGUUCGUAGUGUGUAGUGGCAAUCUCUGCGUGUACUGUGUACUGUGUGUGCCGGUACAACAUGUGCACCGCCGCUCAGUCACGGUGUGUCGGUGUGUUGCUUGCCUUUCAAGUUCCCAAUCCCAUGUGGUGGAUUGGCUAAGAACUACAAGUAGAUGGCUGUGUGGGUGGUGAUACACAGAUUGUAUUCUGACGGGGCAAGGAUUCUAUGAUAGGUGCUUCCAUCAGUGUCGGUGAGGAUGAUGGCUGCCAGUGUGUGGUUGAUGAACAUCAUGUCUAUGUCCACAGCGAUCAGCAUUCUAAUCACUCAGUCUGCAGCUCAUAGCCUCAAAGUACGGCAGUACUCGGUGUAUCCAGCACAUGUUCUACAUGUUGUGUACUAACAUUACUACAUGCUACUAGUUCACCAAUACUGACCGGCAGAAGCAGUGGUGGCUAAGUAUGUGGCAUGACAUGUACUCAUCGUAGUCUUCUGCAACAUCACUAUUGCGUUUCGCUUGCAAGUGUUGAGUUGCUCUCACAUUCAGCACAGACUUCUAGUCAUUUACUCCGCCCCAGGCUGCUGCUGCUGCCGUGUGCUGCUGCUGCUGCUCAUGGUGCUGCUGGUACUGCCCACAUGCCAUGUGACGGUUUAAUGUGCAGCCAAGUGCUGCCUACUGCUC